AACGUACGCUGGCGGCACGCCUAACACAUGCAAGUCGAACGAAGUAGCAAUACUUAGUGGCAGACGGGUGAGUAACAUGUAGGUAUCUGCCCUUUGGCCUGGAAUAACACGAGGAAACUUGUGCUAAUACCGGAUAAGUCUUUACGGAGAAAGCUUUAUGCACCAUUGGAUGAGCCUGCACUUGAUUAGUUUGUUGGUGGGGUAAUGGCCUACCAAGACUGUGAUCAAUAGCUGAUUUGAGAGGAUGAUCAGCCACAUUGGGACUGAGACACGGCCCAAACUCCUACGGGAGGCAGCAGUGGGGAAUCUUGCACAAUGGAGGAAACUCUGAUGCAGCGAUGCCGCGUGAGUGAAGAAGGCCCUUGGGUUGUAAAGCUCUUUCGUCGGGGAAGAAAAUGACUGUACCCGAAUAAGAAGGUCCGGCUAACUUCGUGCCAGCAGCCGCGGUAAUACGAAGGGACCUAGCGUAGUUCGGAAUUACUGGGCUUAAAGAGUUCGUAGGUGGUUGAAAUAGUUGGUGGUGAAAUCCCAGAGCUUAACUCUGGAACUGCCAUCAAAACUUUUCAGCUAGAGUAUGAUAGAGGAAAGCAGAAUUUCUAGUGUAGAGGUGAAAUUCGUAGAUAUUAGAAAGAAUACCAAUUGCGAAGGCAGCUUUCUGGAUCAUUACUGACACUGAGGAACGAAAGCAUGGGUAGCGAAGAGGAUUAGAUACCCUCGUAGUCCAUGCCGUAAACGAUGUGUGUUAGACGUUGGAAAUUUAUUUUCAGUGUCGCAGGGAAACCGAUAAACACACCGCCUGGGGAGUACGACCGCAAGGUUAAAACUCAAAUGAAUUGACGGGGACCCGCACAAGUAGUGGAGCAUGUGGUUUAAUUCGAAGAUACGCGCAGAACCUUACCAACACUUGACAUGUUCGUCGCGACUCUAAGAGAUUAGAGUUUUCGGUUCGGCCGGACGAAACACAGGUGCUGCAUGGCUGUCGUCAGCUCGUGUCGUGAGAUGUUGGGUUAAGUCCCGCAACGAGCGCAACCCUCACUUUUAGUUGCCAUCAUUAAGUUGGGCACUCUGAAAGAACUGCCAGUGAUAAGCUGGAGGAAGGUGGGGAUGACGUCAAGUCCUCAUGGCCCUUACGUGUUGGGCUACACACGUGCUACAAUGGUAUCUACAACAGGAAGCAAGACUGCGAAGUUAAGCAAAUCCCUAAAAGAUACCUCAGUUCGGAUUGCACUCUGCAACUCGAGUGCAUGAAGCUGGAAUUACUAGUAAUCGUGGAUCAGCGUGCCACGGUGAAUGCGUUCCCGGGUCU
rnacentral:rRNA from 1 species